UUCCUCAGCCUCAGAGACGCGGACGUGGGCAAGCGCUGCGCUUUCGAUUCCUCGUUUCUAAUAUCUAUCCGUUCGCUCUCGGAAGCGGGGAGAGUACGUUCAAGCAGCAACAACAGCGGUAACAGCAACAACAACCGCAACAUAAAGGGGGAACCGUUGGUGCGACUGAAUGACUGCCUGCUAGCUGAAAAGAGCAAAGUGAAAACACAAAGACAUUUGUAAUAAUGAGCAUCAAGAUUGGCUAUAAAUAAUUACUGAGUUUGAGAGUUUAACGCACGGAGACUGAAUAGAUCGUGAAUUGCUGAAUUGUUUCUGCUCUUCGGUUCUAUUCAAUUUUUCUGGUGAAUUGUUGUAAUAAACAGGUAGUGCAAGGUUUCUGCACACAAAACUCUCUCACAUUCUGAAGACUGGAACGAAAGAAGGCAUCUUUGACUUUGAUUCAUAGCCAGGAGGAAGCACCUGAAUCUUCAGAGAUUCUUAUUACAGAGACAAGGAAGACGCUCUGUCUACCAUUCUCAGAGUAAGCUUGUCAUAAAAAUUUGUGCAUAACAACGUCCGACCCUGCACCUCAUACACCUCCUGGUCAGGAUUCACCCUCACACUGUCAGAGUGAGCUCCUGUCUCACGUGAGAAAAAAACAAAAAACAAACAAAACCCAAAAAAA